GAUGAACGCUGGCGGCGUGCCUAAUACAUGCAAGUCGAGCGAACAGACGAGGAGCUUGCUCCUCUGACGUUAGCGGCGGACGGGUGAGUAACACGUGGAUAACCUACCUAUAAGACUGGGAUAACUUCGGGAAACCGGAGCUAAUACCGGAUAAUAUAUUGAACCGCAUGGUUCAAUAGUGAAAUACGGUUUUGCUGUCACUUAUAGAUGGAUCCGCGCCGCAUUAGCUAGUUGGUAAGGUAACGGCUUACCAAGGCAACGAUGCGUAGCCGACCUGAGAGGGUGAUAGGCCACACUGGAACUGAGACAGGGUCCAGACUCCUACGGGAGGCAGCAGUAGGGAAUCUUCCGCAAUGGGCGAAAGCUUGACGGAGCAACGCCGCGUGAGUGAUGAAGGCCUUCGGAUCGUAAAACUCUGUUAUUAGGGAAGAACAAAUGUGUAAGUAACUAUGCACGUCUUGACGGUACCUAAUCAGAAAGCCACGGCUAACUACGUG
rnacentral:rRNA from 1 species